GGAGUGGAUUCGCAUGGACGAAGUCUGACGGAGCAACGCCGCGUGAGUGAUGAAGGUUUUCGGAUCGUAAAGCUCUGUUGUUAGGGAAGAACAAGUGCAAGAGUAACUGCUUGCACCUUGACGGUACCUAACCAGAAAGCCACGGCUAACUACGUGCCAGCAGCCGCGGUAAUACGUAGGUGGCAAGCGUUGUCCGGAAUUAUUGGGCGUAAAGGGCUCGCAGGCGGUUUCUUAAGUCUGAUGUGAAAGCCCCCGGCUCAACCGGGGAGGGUCAUUGGAAACUGGGAAACUUGAGUGCAGAAGAGGAGAGUGGAAUUCCACGUGUAGCGGUGAAAUGCGUAGAGAUGUGGAGGAACACCAGUGGCGAAGGCGACUCUCUGGUCUGUAACUGACGCUGAGGAGCGAAAGCGUGGGGAGCGAACAGGAUUAGAUACCCUGGUAGUCCACGCCGUAAACGAUGAGUGCUAAGUGUUAGGGGGUUUCCGCCCCUUAGUGCUGCAGCUAACGCAUUAAGCACUCCGCCUGGGGAGUACGGUCGCAAGACUGAAACUCAAAGGAAUUGACGGGGGCCCGCACAAGCGGUGGAGCAUGUGGUUUAAUUCGAAGCAACGCGAAGAACCUUACCAGGUCUUGACAUCCUCUGACAACCCUAGAGAUAGGGCUUUCCCUUCGGGGACAGAGUGACAGGUGGUGCAUGGUUGUCGUCAGCUCGUGUCGUGAGAUGUUGGGUUAAGUCCCGCAACGAGCGCAACCCUUGAUCUUAGUUGCCAGCAUUCAGUUGGGCACUCUAAGGUGACUGCCGGUGACAAACCGGAGGAAGGUGGGGAUGACGUCAAAUCAUCAUGCCCCUUAUGACCUGGGCUACACACGUGCUACAAUGGACAGACAAAGGGCUGCGAGACCGCAAGGCUUAGCCAAUC
rnacentral:rRNA from 1 species